UGGGGAAUUUUGGACAAUGGGGGAAACCCUGAUCCAGCCAUCCCGCGUGUGCGAUGAAGGCCUUCGGGUUGUAAAGCACUUUUGGCAGGAAAGAAACGUCGCGGGUUAAUACCCCGCGAAACUGACGGUACCUGCAGAAUAAGCACCGGCUAACUACGUGCCAGCAGCCGCGGUAAUACGUAGGGUGCAAGCGUUAAUCGGAAUUACUGGGCGUAAAGCGUGCGCAGGCGGUUCGGAAAGAAAGAUGUGAAAUCCCAGAGCUUAACUUUGGGAACUGCAUUUUUUAACUACCGGGCUAGAGUGUGUCAGAGGGAGGUGGAAUUCCGCGUGUAGCAGUGAAAUGCGUAGAUAUGCGGAGGAACACCGAUGGCGAAGGCAGCCUCCUGGGAUAACACUGACGCUCAUGCACGAAAGCGUGGGGAGCAAACAGGAUUAGAUACCCUGGUAGUCCACGCCCUAAACGAUGUCAACUAGCUGUUGGGGCCUUCGGGCCUUGGUAGCGCAGCUAACGCGUGAAGUUGACCGCCUGGGGAGUACGGUC
rnacentral:rRNA from 1 species